AUUGAACGCUGGCGGCAUGCCUUACACAUGCAAGUCGAACGGCAGCGCGGGGCAACCUGGCGGCGAGUGGCGAACGGGUGAGUAAUAUAUCGGAACGUGCCCUGGAGUGGGGGAUAACGUAGCGAAAGUUACGCUAAUACCGCAUACGAUCCAAGGAUGAAAGCAGGGGACCUUCGGGCCUUGUGCUCCUGGAGCGGCCGAUAUCUGAUUAGCUAGUUGGUGGGGUAAAAGCCUACCAAGGCGACGAUCAGUAGCUGGUCUGAGAGGACGACCGGCCACACUGGUACUGAGACACGGACCAGACUCCUACGGGAGGCAGCAGUAAGGAAUAUGGUCAAUGGAGGCAACUCUGAACCAGCCAUGCCGCGUGCAGGAUGACGGCCUAUGGGUUGUAAACUGCUUUAUACAAGAGAAACCCUGGUACGUGUACCAGGUUGAUAGUAUUGUAAGAAUAAGCAUCGGCUAACUUCGUGCCAGCAGCCGCGGUAAU
rnacentral:rRNA from 1 species